rnacentral:rRNA from 1 species
UACGGGGGGGGCAAGCGUUGUUCGGAAUUACUGGGCGUAAAGGGCUCGUAGGUGGCCAAUUAAGUCAGACGUGAAAUCCCCAGGCUUAACCUGGGAACUGCGUCUGAUACUGGAUGGCUUGAAUUCGGGAGAGGGAUGCAGAAUUCCAGGUGUAGCGGUGAAAUGCGUAGAUAUCUGGAGGAAUACCGGUGGCGAAGGCGGCAUCCUGGACCGACAUUGACGCUGAGGAGCGAAAGCUAGGGGAGCAAACGGG